CUACCCUUGACAUACAGAGAACUUUCUAGAGAUAGAUUGGUGCCUUCGGGAACUCUGAUACAGGUGCUGCAUGGCUGUCGUCAACUCGUGUCGUGAGAUGUUGGGUUAAGUCCCGUAACGAGCGCAACCCUUAUCCUUAGUUGCUACCAUUUAGUUGGGCACUCUAAGGAGACUGCCGGUGAUAAACCGGAGGAAGGUGGGGACGACGUCAAGUCAUCAUGGCCCUUAUGGGUAGGGCUACACACGUGCUACAAUGGCCGGUACAGAGGGCCGCAAACUCGCGAGAGUAAGCUAAUCCCUUAAAGCCGGUCCUAGUCCGGAUUGCAGUCUGCAACUCGACUGCAUGAAGCUGGAAUCGCUAGUAAUCGCGGAUCAGAAUGCCGCGGUGAAUUCGUUCCC
rnacentral:rRNA from 1 species